ACAGAAAAAAAUAAUCAAAAACUCAUCAUAACACCCAACACAUAGUAAUUAGCUUAAACACUGAGAAACAUUUACAUAAAACUUAAGUCAUAUUAGCCUAAACCAUUAAAUCAAUUGGUCACACAGAAGUCAAAUGAAUCAAUUAAACAAAGAAAAGAUACCCCAACAUUGUUACUUGCCUUGCUAUUGCUGCUCAUCUCACUCAAAUGUUAUGUUUACAAAUGAUGCUAACCGUAUUGCUCAAAUAUCCCCUGUGAAGACUGAUCAAAUUUUAGUCAAUGGGCACUCCUUGCUGCUUUAACAGAGUGGCUUCUCCUGUACUUCAUUCUCAUAUGCUUUCUUCAAGUCCUCUGAAGCUACAGGUGUUGGAACAUAUACAUUCAAGCUUGAAAUCUCUCAUAUUGCAUCAAAAUACAAGGCAUUAUCCAUGAUCUUACACAACAUCAGGAUAUACCCAAGAGAAAACAUGUACGAAAGGGAAGUACCGCCCUACCAAAGCUUCUAAUUUUGUAGUGCUGCCAGGGCGUAGAUUCUUUUCCAGCACUGGCCAACCAAAGAGCAACAAUAACAGCCUAAGAAAAAACAUGUUUACUCGAUAGCAGUCCACUGUAAAUAGAAACAGAAAGCUAUGACUGUAAAAAGUAAAAACUCAUGUAUUUCUACACUUUAGUCUUUAGUUGUAUCCAUGGCUUUAAACUCCACGACGUAUGCAAAACUGAUUGCUCAAGAAAUCCCUUCAGAAUCUAGAAAAAACAUCCUAAGCAUGCUAUAAACACGAAGAAUAAUUUCUUGGCAUGUUUGCAACUGAAAAUAGACAUCAUCAGGCCUAGAUAAACACUCAAUUCAAAAUUACGCAGAUGGCAAAUACCUAGGAAAUAAAUUUAAUGAAGAUUGUUACUACGUCAAUAAGCUGUCCAUUCAGAAAAUCGACAAGCAUCAGCCAACCCAGGACCUGCAAAUCAUCAUGUCAUUUCUGAUCAAGAAGAGUGCAAACAAUACUUAGCGUGCUUGUUGCCAGUAAUGGCCUGACAAGAAUGAUUCAAUCAAUCUAUUAGCCAAGAUUAGUCCUGAAUGCAUUACUGGAUGAACAGAAAGGUUGCACUUAUGUAUGCUCCUUGCAUGAACGCAGAAGUUUCCUAUAGAUGCAUGGUGGAGAACAACUUUGGCUAAGGUGAAAGUCUCAUUAGUACAAAUUCGGAGUAAAAUUACUCAGAUAGGAAUCUUGUCAUCUUGCCACAGUAAAAAAGAACAAAAAUUCUUGCAUGUUUAAUAUGUGAUAUCGUAAAAAGAAAUCUAUGAAGUGCAGAAAAUCAUAUAUGAUACCAUAAAUUGGCCCAGCUGAAAAUUCAGGGGAGACCAUUAUCUAACAAGCCAGGCUUCAAGCCAAUAUCCCUCUGUAGAAAUAUUCAUC
rnacentral:lncRNA from 1 species